rnacentral:tRNA from 1 species
AUAAGACUAGUUUAUUAAGAAUGAAAUUUUUCCAAAAUUUUGGUCCUUAUUGGGUUUUAUA